UAGAUCGAAGAAAGGGAAAAAAAUACUGCACAACAGCAGGCGGGAGAGAGGAGUGAGAAUGUGUGAGAGAAACAGUCCUGCAGACACCAAUGUCAGUGCAGAAGGAGGGGGAGGAGGUGCUCCAGGCACUGGAGCAGCGAUUUUCCUGCAGCCUGUGGCGCAGACCAUGGUGAGGCAACUGUGCCCCUGCAGCCCAUGAGGGAGCAGAGAUCCAGCUGCAGUCUCUGGAAGAUUCCACACUGGAGCAGGUGGAUGUACACAGCUGCACAAAGCUGUGACCCUGUAGGACGCUUGUGCUGGAGCAGGCUCCUGUCAGGAUAGGUGGACCCAAGCAGAGAGAAGUGCAUUCUGGAGCAGGUUUUCUGCCAGGUUCUGGGAUCCCAUGGUGAGGACCCCUGAUGGAGAAGUUUUUCCUGAAGGAUUGCACCCCAUGGCAGUCCCCACGCUGAAGCAGUUUAUGAAGAACUGCAGCCUGUGAGAAGGAAUCACACUGGAGAAAUCGUGGAGGACUGUCUCCUGUGGGAAGGAUCCUACGCUGGAGCAGGGGAAGAGUGUGAGGUGGAAGGAGCAGCAGAGACAAAGUAUUAUGAACUGGCUAUGAGCCCCAUCCCCUAUCUCCUUGCACAGCUUAUGGCUAAUUCUACUUUGGCCUGGUGGAUUGAGUGACCAUUGGUUGAUGGAGUGUAUCAGCCAUUCUUCUGGAGCUCCUUGUCCAGUUUAGUUUCAUCUAAGGUGGUACAGUUCAAGAUCUCCAAAGACCACUCCUUGAGAAUCCAGAGAAGAGCAUGAAUCUCACUUUGGAAGCACACUGCUGAUCCAUUUUAUUUAGAUCUAAUCCAUUAGUCCAGUGUUCUACAUGAUACCAAUUAUGCAUUGAUACUGAGACCUCUAUAUAAUAUUUCAGGCCUGUUCUCACGAAAUAAAUCGAUUUUCUCUGAUACUCUGCUAUAUUCUCUUUUCACCACAUUCAAAAUCAAGAAAGUGUCAAGUGAACUGGAUUGAUACCCUCAUUGAUGACUGGGGCCUUUCUAUUUCUGGAAAGGAGAUAAAUGGCAUUUUCUUAAGAAAAAUUCUUAUAAAAGAAUUGGCUUUUUAAAAUUUUCAUCAGUUUCUUUUGAACCUUUUGAACCAUAAUUUUUUAUGAAGCAUAUUACAGAUCGGUAGUGCAUGGAAAGAUUAGUCAGAAGACAUUUAGAGCUAGUUAAUGAACACUACUUUACAGAGUUUUUAUUUAGUAAAAUUAGAGGGCAUUGCUUUAGUCUGUGUAAAGGACCUAUUAUCUUGCAGCUAGCGUCCAAUAAUUUGUCUUACAUAAGCAGUUAAAGUUAGUAGGGAUCUCAAUAUAGCAGUUUGACAGAAGUGUUAAAUAUAGGUAUCAUCUAAACUCGCUGGAAAUGGGGAUUGUUUUUCCUAAGAACACAGUCCAAAAGUGAACAAAAAUGAAAGGGAAAAACUUCCAGCAGGCCUUCUUGGCUCAAAUCAUAACAACUAUGUUAAUCAGAGCGUUGUUUUGCACUGCCUGCAAUUGCCUUUCAACAGUCAGUACAAAAGUCAGCAAAGCAUAAGCAUUCAUGUGACAAGAAUAACUCCCUUAGGAGUAGAAGCUGAAGCUGACCUGAGGAGAGGACAUUGCACAACUGCAAAUGUAAGUACUUGGGGAAGGUUCGUAGCGUGGUAAUUUUUGUAAACGGCUACAGGUAUUUGUGUCCAGUUCUCAUGGAGAAGUAUGUCAUUUGUUCCUGUGCACCAUGCAGUCUGAAGUGAAGAAAGAAAGAAAAUAUGAGUUAUCAGAUGACUGUCACAUAUUUUUACUUGAACAACACUAUUUCAGAUACUCAAUUAUUUAUUUUUUCCCUCAAGUCUCUUCAGCUCCUUGGUAUUACCAGAAAUCCCUGAUCUUAGAGAUUGCUGACCUCACUAUUGUGGGGCCAUGCAAACUGAUCAGAUCAGAGACACGAAUGAGUAUCUCACAAAAGACUGGGGGGCAGAGGCUUAGAAUGGUGAGGAAUGUUUUGCUGGAGCUCCUUGAUUGUCUCUAAGCUAUUGAGUGGAUUUUAUAAUAAGCUCAGAGAAUAUUAUUUUUUAUAUCAUAAAUAUAUUAAAACACAGUUGCCCUGCCAAAUCCAGAUGAGAACAGCACCGAUCCUGAAUUGGCUGCUGUCAAUAAACUUGUGCUGUAUACUCAGUACUGUGAUGCAUCUUAGUGCCUGAAAUGAAAAUUUAAAAUCCAUAGUAAAUAAAGCAAAUAGAAUUUGCAAGGCAAUAUAAAUACCAUGUUCAGAAAUGUUUGAGUAAAAAUAGCAAAAAGAAAGGGCAAGAUAAUAAAAUAACCUAUUCAGAGACAUUUUAAUAAAAUUAAAAAAGGCAUAGAUAACAAGCUAGACAAAAAUGAGGCAUAUCAUCUAUGAUGAGGUAAUUAUGUUUUAACGGAUGAGGUGGAAUACCUAUUCUGAAUAUGAUGGAAGUAUUCCAAGUUCCCAUAAUAAAUUCACUGCUCCUUUUGCACAUGUAGUUGUUUCAGGCAGGAACUUUUCUAGAAUGAAGAGAUGGGCAUUCAGUCGAAAGCAAGACAACAGACAAAUAAGAAAAAUUACAAUCAGAAAUGCAAGUUUUCAGAAGGAAAGGUGGUAGAAGUAGAAAAGCUGAACAAAGGAAGACAAAAGAAGUGUUCUGGGUGGAAUAGACAGCAAUGUUUUACCAAUUAAAACAGCUUUUAAAAUAAAAAAACAAUUCUGAUGAAAACACCAAGAACCUUAUUAAAUAAUACUUGAGGAAAGAACCUACCUUCACUUUAUGAAAAACUCUGUGGCAUUUAUAAGGUAUGCAAUUUCUACACUUCAUACACAGAGGAACGUCAAAAGUAUGUCGUCUCCUGUUGAUGGUCCUUUACUGCUUAAAUAGUGUCUGGCUAUUCUUAGGUGAAACAUAAAAGCAUGCUGAAAAGCAGUCCCUGAAGAUCACUUCUGCAGGAAAGAUGAUCACUUGUGUUUGAAACAUAUUACAGACCAAACUGAAGAACAGGAAGACACUUAUAACAAUACGAGUUCAAGAGCACUUCUGUCAAUCAGCUUUCUCGGGGCCACUUUCCCAAAUAACAAAAUAAACUUUUAAAUCAGUAAAAAUUAAAAUAAUUGAUAUUUUUUUCCUUUUUGUUAUGAUUGAUCCAGGAGUUUUUCUUUUUCUCUCUAAGCUAUUGGAAUAUGAUACCAAUAGCAUUUUUUUAAAAAAAUCUAAAUUAAAGGUGUUAAAACUUCUUAAUCAAACUAUAUAUUUAUUAAUUUAAUUAAAGUCUGAAAUCUCUUUACAAACAUAUUGUCUUUGAGUACAAUUGUUUUUUUUCCCUAACAGACUCCUCUUGGUUUGUCAUUUGCAGACUUCCAUUAGAAAUGUGCCCCUUAGACUUUCUCUGAAGACACUACUGAAUGUUCCCAUGACAAUUUGCAAAAGCAGGAUCUUCUUUUGGUCUCUGUUUUUGACAUUGGGCUUUAACUGCAUUAUUACCUAGUAAAUGGAGCUAUUGUUAGAAAUUACUGGAAUAUGACAGGCCCUGUGACAAUUUCUGAGACUUUAAAAUGCACUUGUUCAACUUCAGACUGAGAAAAAAUCCUGUUUUUCUGGAGAAAUGAUCGGUGUAAAAACAUUUAUUUUUGUUUCAAAUUUUCAUUAUGACCUCUCCCUGUGUCUCCAGUAGUGAUCAGAGGGUCUUCCUGGAAAGGCAUAAACCUUUCUUUGGCUAACAUCACCAAAAUCUGAGUGUCUAAGAAAAGGUUGCCUUUGCAACCUUUCUUUUCCACAGUGCAGAGGAAAAAGCAUUAUUUAGCAAAAAUAUUGCUGCAAGUCUUUCACACUUUACUAUUCUUCUGCUGGGAAGCAGGUUGCUUUCAAAACUUUCUAGCAAUUUCUCUUAAAAAAAAAAGGUGACUUGUCAAUAAUCUUUUCAUUGAGUAAAAGCAAAUAAAAAAAUAACAAGAUGAAGGUUUCUAUUGCUCAGUUGAUCCCUAGGUACUUGUUGGGGAUAAAAGGAAGCAAGGUAUACAGAAGGAAAAAUUUAUUAAAUGUUUAGCAUGAGGAAUGUCUCAGCACAUCCAGAAGGCAAUCUUUCUAGGGUCAUUUGCAAGAGUUCUGCCCUGAAAAAAAAUACAGAAAAUUAAUUCUUUAUGUUAUUCUCAAGAGAUUAGGGCUUACUUGGAACAGGGAGCAUCCCUGCAAACUCUUUACUAGUCAAUGGAUUUAGGCUCCAGUGUGAUCAUAGAAUAAAUCUGGCUUUAGGUUUGUGGUAUGAGAUCAAAAGAAAAUCCCAUGAAAUGAAGUAAGAAGCCAAUUUAAACUCAUUCUGUAUGGUCAGUUUUGCUCAAAAGAUGUUGCUGUGCUGACUUUGAAGUCUCAGGCUUUCUUCUGGAAUAAGUUUCAAUGCAUUAUCUCUUUUCCUACAUGCCUGAAAAUAAAAGGGUUUAAACACUG